GGGGCCGUCGUCUAGCUUGGUAGGAUGCGAGGCUUGGGCCCUCGUGGUCCGGGGUUCAAAUCCCCGCGGCCCCACCA
rnacentral:tRNA from 2 species